CUAUAUGGGAGGUAGCAAUUGGAUCGCAUCCAUUUACAAUCGAGCCAUUCUGUAUUCAUCAGCAAUCAUUCAUGACUAGCAACAUACAUUGAAACUGAUAAUUUUUGAACGAGGUAUUGAACAUAUGUUCAGCGCUUCUGUAUCGCUCGUUCCGCGUGUCGAAUCUUGAAAGGCUACCAUAUUGCCUGAAAGGAGAAUAUUACGAAGGAAAAGACUUAUUGAAGUAAUGGAUUCAUCAUGGUGAAAUGAAAAACAUGAGUGGUGUUUUGGCUCUUUUAUGCCUUUUAUCAAGAGGGAAGCUAUUACUAAGAUUGCCUCGGUC
rnacentral:sRNA from 1 species